rnacentral:rRNA from 1 species
GACGAACGCUGGCGGCGUGCUUAACACAUGCAAGUCGAACGAAGUGGCGAACGGGUGAGUAACGAGUAAUCAACCUGCCCUUCAGAGGGGGACAACAGUUGGAAACGACUGCUAAUACCGCCUACUGUAGGAGGGGAUUGCGUCUGAUUAGCUAGUUGGAGGGGUAAAGGGCUACCAAGGGGAUGAUCAGUAACCUGGCUGGGAGGAUGAACGGCCACAUGGGGACUGAGGCACGGCCCAAGCUCCUACGGGGGGCAGCAGUGGGGAAUCUUCCGCAAUGGACGGAAGUCUGGCGGAGCAACGCCGCGUGAGUGAUGACGGCCUUCGGGUUGGAAAGCUCUGUUAAUCGGGACGCGGUACCGGAAUAGAAAGCCACGGCUAACUACGUGCCAGCAGCCGCGGUAAUAC